rnacentral:rRNA from 1 species
AGUGAACGCUGGCGGUAGGCCUAACACAUGCAAGUCGAACGGCAGCUCAGUAAGAGUUUGCUCUUACGGGUGGCGAGUGGCGGACGGGUGAGGAAUACAUCGGAAUCUACUUUUUCGUGGGGGAUAACGUAGGGAAACUUACGCUAAUACCGCAUACGACCUACGGGUGAAAGCAGGGGAUCUUCGGACCUUGCGCGAUUGAAUGAGCCGAUGUCGGAUUAGCUAGUUGGCGGGGUAAAGGCCCACCAAGGCGACGAUCCGUAGCUGGUCUGAGAGGAUGAUCAGCCACACUGGAACUGAGACACGGUCCAGACUCCUACGGGAGGCAGCAGUGGGGAAUAUUGGACAAUGGGCGCAAGCCUGAUCCAGCCAUACCGCGUGGGUGAAGAAGGCCUUCGGGUUGUAAAGCCCUUUUGUUGGGAAAGAAAAGCAGCAGGUUAAUACCCCGCUGUUCUGACGGUACCCAAAGAAUAAGCACCGGCUAACUUCGUG